AACGAACGCUGGCGGCAUGCCUAACACAUGCAAGUCGAACGAGACCUUCGGGUCUAGUGGCGCACGGGUGCGUAACGCGUGGGAACCUGCCCUUAGGUUCGGAAUAACUCCCCGAAAGGGGUGCUAAUACCGGAUAAUGUCUUCGGACCAAAGAUUUAUCGCCUUUGGAUGGGCCCGCGUUGGAUUAGCUAGUUGGUAGGGUAAAAGCCUACCAAGGCGACGAUCCAUAGCUGGUCUGAGAGGAUGAUCAGCCACACUGGGACUGAGACACGGCCCAGACCCCUACGGGGGGAAGGAGUGGGGAAUAUUGGAAAAGGGGGGAAAGCCUGACCCAGAAAUGCCGGGGGAGGUGUGAAGGCCUUAGGGUUGUAAAGCUUUUUUACCGGGGAUGAAAAUGACAGGACCGGGAAAAUAAGCCCCGGCUAACUCCGU
rnacentral:rRNA from 1 species